rnacentral:rRNA from 1 species
AUAAGAGCUGGGUCAGCCGGGUGCCAGCCGCCGCGGUAACACCCGCAGCUCUAGUGGUCGUCACUAUUAUCGAGCCUAGAGCGUUCGUCGCCGGUUCUGUAAAUCUCCAGAUAAAUUCUCCCGCUCAACGGGAGAUCCUCUGGAGAGACUGCAGGACUAGGGACUGGGUGAGGCUGAAUGUACUUCCAGGGUAGGGGUAAAAUCCUGUAAUCCUGGAAGGACCACCGGUGGCGAAGGCGUUCAACUAGAACGGAUCCGACGGUGAGGAACGAGGGCUAGGGGAGCAAACCGGAUUAGAUACCCGGGUAGUCCUAGCUGUAAACACUGCCCACUUGGUGUUGCCUCUUCGUUGAGGGGAGGCAGUGCCGGAGCGAAGGUGUUAAGUGGGCCGCUUGGGGAGUAUGGUCGCAAGGCUGAAACUUAAAGGAAUUGGCGGGGGAGCACCGCAACGGGAGGAGCGUGCGGUUUAAUUGGAUUCAACGCCGGAAAACUCACCGGGAGCGACCUUUGCAUGAGAGUCAACCUGACGAGUUUACUCGAUAGAAGGAGAGGUGGUGCAUGGCCGUCGUCAGCUCGUACCGUAGGGCGUUCACUUAAGUGUGAUAACGAGCGAGACCCCCAUCUUUAAUUGCCAGGUUGUCUUAGCGGACAACGGCACUUUAGAGGGACCGCCAGCGCUAAGCUGGAGGAAGGAGGGGUCGACGGCAGGUCAGUACGCCCCGAAUCUCCCGGGCAACACGCGCGCUACAAAGGGCAGGACAAUGAGUUGCGACACCGAAAGGUGGAGCUAACCUCGAAACCUGUUCGUAGUUAGGAUUGAGGGCUGUAACUCGCCCUCAUGAAUGUGGAUUCCGUAGUAAUCGCGGGUCAACAGCCCGCGGUGAAUAUGCCCCUGCUCCUUGCACACACCGCCCGUCAAACCAUCCGAGCUGGUGUUGGAUGAGGGUCUGCUCGCGAGGGCAAACUCGAAUCUGAUGUCAGUGAGGAGGGUUAAGUCGUAACAAGGUAUCCGUAGGGGAACCUGCGGAUG